UACAGAGGUCUCAAGCGUUGUUCGGAUUCAUUGGGCGUAAAGGGUGCGUAGGCGGCGCGGUAAGUCGGGUGUGAAAUCUCGGAGCUUAACUCCGAAACUGCAUUCGAUACUGCCGUGCUUGAGGACUGGAGAGGAGACUGGAAUUCCCGGUGUAGUGGUGGAAUGCGUAGAUAUCGGGAGGAACACCAGUGGCGAAGGCGGUUGCCUGGAGCUUUGCUGACGCUGAUGCGCGAAAGCGUGGGGGAGCGAUCCGG
rnacentral:rRNA from 1 species